rnacentral:misc_RNA from 1 species
AUAAUAAUAAUUAUUAUUAACCUAUAUUUUUAAUAACUUAUUAUAUUUUGUAUGAAAUUAUGGUUUUAAUUGAUUUUACUGUUUUAUUCUAAUAUAACUCGUUGUUGAUGCAUCUUAUAAUAUAAUUUAAUUAAUAUAAUCUUGUGUUUCUAGUUGUAAAUAGUUAUUUGCUUGUAGAUGUCUAAUAAAUUGUUGAAAGUUUGGACUCUAGACAGUUCGGUAAAAGCAGCUGUGGUAUGCAGUAAUUUGGCUGAAUUGAAAACCAAAGGUAAUAAUCAUUGAGUAUUGUUAUUCAUAACUUUAAGCGGUCAUCUCAAAUAGAAGGUGCAAACAAUUAGGUUUCUUCUACACGAAACAAUGGGCUAUUACUGCUGUUUAUGUAGAAAAAGUAUUGAUGCUUUUACAAUUAAGAACACAUUUUCACUUGAGACGUAGCUUAGCUAAAUAUGAUAAAGUAGAACUUCAUUGUGGACAAGAUGGCUGUAUGAGAUAUUUUGAAUGCUUAAGCUCAUUAUCGACUCAUUCACGUCGAAAGCAUAAGCUUACUUCGACAGAUGCAAGCUCCAUGGAACAAAAAACAGUUAAUAAUGAACCAGAAAAUCUGUGAUGAAAUUGAAAUGAGUGAGCAAGUAGAAGAGCCUGAAAAUGAUAAAGUUACCGACUUUAAGGAACAGCUAAGACAGCUACUGUUUAAAGUUUAUGCUAAGUAUUGGUGCUUAGAUAUUAUACAGGGGGGAUUUACUGAUUUAUUAGAGGGGCUGUGUCAAAUGUUUUCUGAUAAAUUAAAGAAUGUUGCAAACAAUUUAGAUGCAGUUCAUAUAUCCACAAUCAAAACUCAACUUGAAUCAGUAAUUCAAGAAAUCGACAAUGUUAAGCCAACUUUAAAAGAAGUAGGAAACUUUGAACAGCAAUUGAAACACUUUAAAAAUCAUAUGAAAUUUGUUAAGAUGGUUGGACGUCCAAUAUCUGUUCGUUAUGAAUCCCGUUUGGAUAAGGAAACUGGCAAAAUAUGUCAAUAUCCUAUUCCUAAUACAUACCAGUAUAUACCAAUUCAUCAGCCAAUUAGAUUUGUUUAUAGCUAUAUGUAUGAGAUUCUAAAAAAACAACAAAGGAACACAAAUAAUUUAUUAAGUGACUUUAGCGAUGCUUCUCGUUUCAAAGAAUGUCAACUGUUUAUAGAAAAUUCGGAUGCCUUACAGUUACAUUUAUAUUUCGACGAUUUUGAAACCGUUAAUCCGUUAGGCUUGAAAACAAAAAUUCACAAACUAGGUGCAGUCUAUAUGAUGAUACGGAACUUGCCAUCCUAUUUAAACUUCCGCCUCAUGCAUUUAUCUGGUAUGUCUUUUUUAUACAGAAGAUACAAAAAUUACGCGUGGAUAUGAACCAGUUCUUGAAGAAAUGAUUAAGGAUAUUAAAACAUUAGAAAUAAAGUAUAUUGAAAUUGUGCUCGGUAAAGCAUGUCAGACAGUUAAGGGCACUGUUGUUUUGUUUUCGGCUGACAAUUUAGGUGCUCAUGGAAUGUUAGGUUUCCAAGAGAGUUUUACUUUUGGUUGUAUAUGUCGAUUGUGUUACGCAACUGUUGAAAGCAUUCAAGAUCACCACCGAGCCAGAGAUUUUGCACCAAGAACUGCUGAACAGCAUGAAAAAGACGUGCAAGACUGCAACACAAGAAAUACUGGUGUAAAGCGACAAUCACCCUUUAAUGAUUUGCAUUAUUUUAAAGUUACUGACAACUAUUGUGUGGAUGCUAUGCACGAUAUAUUUGAAGGCGUUUUUUCUAAUGUGUUAAAAUUAGUUUUAUACCAGCUUAUUAUUGUCAAUAAAAUUUUUGCAUGUAUUCAGCUCAAUUCUCGACUGAAAGCAUUUCGUUAUGCCGAACAUGAGAAGAGAGAUAAGCCGUCUUGUAUAACUGUAGAAUAAUUGAAGUCAGGUGAUAAUCUUUUGGGUCAGCGUGCUGCUCAAUAUCUGUGUUUAAGUAGACUUAUUGGUUUAAUACUUGAAGAUCUUAUAGACUGUGAAAAUACUUAUUGGCGGUUGGUCACUCUUUUAAUGGAGAUUAUAGACUUUAUUUUGUGUCCAAAGAUAUUGCAUGGCAUGAUUUCGUAUUUAGAUUAACUUAUAUUUGAUCACCACACAAUGUACAGGGAGUUAUUUCCAACAAAACGAUUGACACCUAAAUUUCAUAAUUUAGUUCAUUAUCCUGCUUGUCUUCAAAAGUCUGGUCCGGGAUGUCGAUAUUGGUGUAUGUUUAUGUUUGUAGACAUACAAUGAUUAAUGGUACGGAUUAUUUCAGUGGAGAUGUUUUAGUUGUUGGUAGACAGAUGGAUGAGUGUCUCAAAUUUGUACUCAUUGAUGAGUUUAUUUUAACUGAUGGUGGCAUUUAUUUUGUUUGCCAAGAACUGCACACUUAUUACUAUGAUAGUCAUUAUCAUGCUUUUGCAGUUGAAGAUGAUGACUGCGGAAAAAGUGUAGUACUAGAGUAUGAUGAACUGUUAGACUAUUAUCCAUUAGCUUCGCAUACUGUUUCUGGCACGAGAUCGAAGUAUUCAUUCGUUGCUCUUCGUCAUGCAGUUGUAACUAGCAUCUCUAAAUAAGCAUUUCAUCUUCAAAUUUUAUUAUGCAUUGUUAUCGGUUUUAUAUGUUGUAUUCAUUUUUGUUUUUGUUAAUUCACUAAGAUCAGUUCAUAUUGUACGAGUUGUAUAACCUGUUGUGUAAAAUCAAACGACAAUUAUGAAUCCAAUUUCCGUAAUUUCAAUUUUGUUCAUUUCACUUUUUAUUAUUAGGCUAUGUAAAAUUUCUUUAUGUAGCUGCCCAAAAACUUGGUUUUGAUAUCGCUUCGUUCAAAAUGGAUGAUGGUACAGAUAUCGAUGAUGAUGAAAUUGUGCAAUAUUUAAAUCCCGGUGCAAUAGUCUAUGCUUUAAAUGCUGAUGAAGCUAUCAGAAGCUUGGCAACAACAUUAUCUAUAAUACCCGGCACACUAGACAACACAUUCGAACCAUUGCAGACUUCUACACCAGAAACCAGCAUGACUAGCAUAACUUCAGCUGCAGAUGGGCAUCAUAUAGAAGAUAUGGAAGAGGAACAGCCAAGCACGAGCAAGCAAGUACGUAAACAACCAAGGGACGUGCCUGUUACUGUGAUUUCAAGUAAUAACGACGUUUCAGUUAUUGUGGCAUUAAAGAAGCAUCCAAAAGAAAAGUGGAUAGUAUAAGAGGGUAACAAAGCCGUAAUGGCACGUGAAGCUCGUUUGGCAAUGGUCGAGACAGCAUGCAGUCAUCUCAUUGACUUAUUUGGAGAUUAUCCACCAACAGAAAAGAAAGUGCUGAUGGCAAAAAGCAUCAUAGAAGCUUUUCCUAACCAAAAAUCAAGUUUCGGCAAAGGAUAUGUAAGAAUGCAUUUAUUUGAAUACUGAUUAUGUAUUUAUUAGAAUACUAAUAAUUAGCUUAUAGAAUAUGUAUGUGCAUGCAUUUUAUUGUUAUGUAUUUAACCGAGUAUAUUUGAAUAUGCCAUAUUUGCUCUAAAUAACAAUUUAGUAUGAUAACCAAUUUUGUCAUCAGAAUCUGAAAAGUAAGUCAAAAUUGUUGUUUUUGUACAUUCAAUACAAAUUUAAGCAGUGAACUGUUGUUUUUUUUUAUCAAGGAACAUUAUUACUCAUCAGAUGGGACAGGUUUUAUACAAAACCGGUUUAGGCAGAUUCAACGCCAACUGCCUGAGCAGCAACGAAAAUAUCGUUAAAGAUACAAACUAUCAGUCAAUGAUAGUGUAGUUCAAGCAGGUGACCAAUUUAUAGAGGUGUUUGGCGAGGAUGCCGAAUUAAAAACGGUCAUGCUUCAGAAUUUGGUACCAUUAUCGGCUAACGUAGACAAAAUCUAUACGUUAAUGGCUGAAACGUGCAGUUAUCGUUAAAAGGGGGCGGAGGUUCUGCUGGACCUACAAUGACACAGAUCCUUCAGAAGUACCCUCGUUUUAUAGAUGUGUCUGGCUUAGUAAGUUUCUGUUUUCAAAAACAUUGAAAAGCAAAAGUUACCUCAUACAUAGCUUAAUUUUCGAGAUAUACACCCAAUAAAAUAAUAAAUAAACUUAAUUAUAUCCAAAAUUCUUUUCGUUUCUUUCAAAGAAUUACAUUACAUUUAUUUCAAGUAUUUUAUUAUAGCUAUGCAAAAUCCUACAUACAACUUUUAUUAUUGUUGCUUAAUAAAAACACUAAAAGAAUGCUUAGUGUUGAUAUAUAUUAAUGUUCAUUUUACUAUAUUUCUGCAUACAUAUAAGCAAAACAUUAAUAAAACUCAUUAACUGUUGGUUUCUGUAAAAUAAUCGAUCAUAUGAUUUUAAGGUACAACAAGAUUUCAAAAGUAUGGCUGCUAGUCCAAGAGAAGAUCCAGCAGCAUACUUUGAAAGCAACCUCGCUCUCAAACUGCUUCGUUUUUUGAAAGCAACCUCGCUCUCAAACUGCUUUGUUUUUUGAAAGCAACCUCGCUCUCAAAGUGCUUCGUUAUUGUGUUGGCCAAGGCAAAUCCUUGACCUAACGCAGAACUUUGAAAAUUUCACAGCAGGUACAACAUUUAAUUAUUCAGGAUUGUACUUGUGUGUAAGCACUUUAUAUUAUUGUAAAAGUAUGUAAAACAAACCUAUUUAUUUGUUAUUAGAUGCAACGAGUCACAAUGCGAUGCUAUGUUUGCUGGACAUGCUACCUACCAUGGGAAAGCAUCAGACAUCAGUUAAAAAUGCCCGCCAAUCGAUUUCAUCGACGAGAUAAAAGUCGAUGUUAAUGAUCAUUGUAUAUUAUCGUUUGCAUGUAAUAAUAAUAAUAAUAAUAA